rnacentral:tRNA from 1 species
UGUGUAAAUCUAAUAUACACAUUCAUUUAAUAAAUAGUAGAUAAAUAUGUCAUCAG